rnacentral:rRNA from 1 species
GAUGAACGCUGGCGGCGUGCCUAAUACAUGCAAGUCGAGCGAACAGAUGAGGAGCUUGCUCCUCUGACGUUAGCGGCGGACGGGUGAGUAACACGUGGAUAACCUGCCUAUAAGACUGGGAUAACUUCGGGAAACCGGAGCUAAUACCGGAUAAUAUAUUGAACCGCAUGGUUCAAUAGUGAAAGACGGUUUUGCUGUCACUUAUAGAUGGAUCCGCGCCGCAUUAGCUAGUUGGUAAGGUAACGGCUUACCAAGGCAACGAUGCGUAGCCGACCUGAGAGGGUGAUCAGCCACACUGGAACUGAGACACGGUCCAGACUCCUACGGGAGGCAGCAGUAGGGAAUCUUCCGCAAUGGGCGAAAGCCUGACGGAGCAACGCCGCGUGAGUGAUGAAGGUCUUCGGAUCGUAAAACUCUGUUAUUAGGGAAGAACAAAUGUGUAAGUAACUAUGCACGUCUUGACGGUACCUAAUCAGAAAGCCACGGCUAACUACGUG